AUUUUAUCAAUUUUCAAUAUCCAUUGCCUACAUUGUUAUUGUUCAUGUGUUUUGUUCCGUAUAUUUUAUAUUCCAUUGCUCAUGUUUUGUUUCCGUAUAUAUUUUAUGUUCCAUUGCUCAAGUGUUGUUUCCGUAUAUUUUAGCCGCUCGUCUUAAGCCUACCAAAUGAACACACCAUAAAGUAAUAAAAUUAUACUUUAAUUGUCAUUCAUAACUCUUAACAGACCAAUUAACAGACCGGGUUUUAUUACAUCCGACCCCAUUAACAGACCAGGUUUUAAAUAAAGAUUGAUUUAUGUCACCAAAAUACAGAUUUUCGUGUAGAUUUUUCACAAAAUGAUAUCAAUUUGGUUAACACUCAUAAUGCCUGUCUUUUUUCGAUGUUCAAAAUAUUGCAUGCAAGUAAAUUCAACCCAAGUGUCAUUUUGUGUACAUUUUGUGUGUGUAAAAUGUGUAUAAAUUUACUGAUGAGUAAUUUGCCUUUUCAUUUUAUAGAUCGUACAUAGAAGCUAGAAAAAUAAUAAUUACACCACUGGAUUCAGUACAUUGAAUAGUUUUGUCAGACAUAAAUAUUUUUUAUGAUAAACAUAUAUUCAAAAGGUUAUACAAUGAAACAUUCUGAGUUUUAAUGAUUUUUCUCGAUAACACCUGAUUAAUAGACUUUAGCCAACCCGAUUAAAGACCCACUGCCGAUAUAGCCGCAUACUCAAUAUAGAUUAACCGACCAAUCUCUCGGUUAGCCGAGUGUCGGCCGUGAAUAUGAACGAUGAUUAAAUCAUGUAUGACCAUGUGUGAACGAAACUUUAAAAACUAUUGAGACAAAAUUCAAUUUCGGAUAAACAUAUUGUUCCUUUUAUACUUAAGCUGGGGUCACACAUUCACGAUUUUUACUGCCGUCCUUGACAGGACCAUUCCCGAUUAAAAUUUGUCAAAAGUCUGAUCAAGAUCCUGUGAAUCGUGGAUGGAAAUUCGAUUUGUAUAUUUCGCCAGGUAAAAUUCGACCGAGUCUGUCACGACUGCGUCCCGAUUCUACCGAAUGUAAUCCGACAGAGAUCAGAUAGUGACAAGACAGUGAACCGACGCUGACGGAAGUUAUCCGUUCGAAAACUGUCGGCAUAAUCGGGAUGAUCAGGUACUGUCGGAACGUAAUCCUAUCACGGUCCGCUCUAUCGUAUUGCAAACGGCUUUGUCUGGUCUCAGUCGUAUUGUAUUCUGUUAUUGUCGGGACUUCUCCAGAUCAUUCCCGUUCCACAGGACACCGUGCUGAAUACACAGAACAUUGUUAGGAAUUCGAUCCGAUACAGCAGAAUCUGUCACGACAUAGGCACGAUUGUAAUCCGACUAGACAAAAAUCGGCUGAGUUUCCCGAAUGUUACGGGACGCACCUAACUGUCGGGGUGCUUUGCCGAACUAUUCGGACCCUUCCCGACCAGUAGGAAUCUGUUACGAACUAAAACGACUGCGUUCAGACAAUGAUAGGACAUUCCAGAUAAUUGAGGAUACUAAUCCGACUUUUUCACUUUUCGUGUCGUAUCGCUGUCUGAUCUCAAACGGGAUCAAUAAUCGGCAAUGUGUGAACCCCGCAUUAGGAAAUACAAUUUUGAAACUUACUAUUUGUGUAAUUCAUUGCUAUACACAAAACUAGAACACGCCCGCAGAACUGUCGACUGACAAGUAACUUUGCCUUCAAUAAUAAUUAUAACGGUCAUUAUCCUUAUUACACACAUCUUCAAAUAGACUGUUCUUAUGCAAAUUAAAACUUAAGUGAAAUAAAUCAAGUACAAUAAAUGUUAUCUGGUCUUUGAAAAAAACGUCAAAUUGCAUAGUUAAAACAUUGUUGAAUAAUCGACCGAUCCUUGUAUUCAAAAACUAAUAAGAUGUGAAA
rnacentral:lncRNA from 1 species